GCACCAGGGGUCUCGUAGGGACCUCAUCUGGAUUUAUGGAUCCAUAACAUGCAUAACAUAACAUAAUAAUAACCAUGGGAGAGUCAGUGGGUCAUCCAUAAUCUACCCUAUAUCAUAAACAAUUAUGCAAUUUCAUCAAGUAUGGGUUUAGUGCACGACAUCUAAUAUCAAUGCAAUUCAUGAUGCAUGAUUAUGCUAAAAGCAUUAAAUAAAGUAAUUAAUAGCAAUUAAAUUAAUUUAAGCAGUUUAUACUCACCUCUUGUAAAACUUACUCAUUAAUCCUUAUCCCUAAGUUUGGCAAGUAGACUGGACUCCACGUGUGAUUCCUAGGAUGUUCUGACAUCACUGACUCUGGGCUCGACUUCCUUGAACUUAGAUUACCAUCUCUGAUCAAGUGGUGAAACAAACAUCAAAACAUAAAUUCUAUAUUCUAAACUUCCUAAAAAAACAUCUAAAGGAUCUAUAACCUAUCCAUUCUAGGUCCUUUUGGAUCAUUAAGAUAGGUUUUAGAGCCUCAGAAACAAAGGGAGAAAAGGC
rnacentral:misc_RNA from 1 species